AGCUUGUCUUCAAAUUCUUUUGUUAUAGAUUUUCGCCCAGCAUGGGCGCCUCCAUUUCAGCUUCAAGGUAUUGCAAUGUCAUCUUGCAGAUUGGGACCUCAGUUUCCACAAUGGCUUCAAACUCAAAAGGAUGUUCGAUUUUUAGAGAUGUCUAAUGCAAGCAUAUUUGAUACCAUCCCUGAUUGGUUUGAAAAAAAUUCGUCCAGAACAUACAUUUGAUGGGCAACAAAUUUGAGGGGCCUUUAGCAACCACCCCACCUGGUGUGUUCAUGCUCGAUCUUUCCAAUAAUUCUUGUCUGGUUCGAUUCCUGAAGACGCCAUAUUGCAUGAACUAUGCCUCUUUGGCAAAAAGUUGAAUGGAAGUAUUCCAUUUUCUAUAUGCAAGAUGAAGGACUUGCAGAUUCUUGAUCUCUCCAAAAAUCAGCUCUCUGGGAGACUUCCUGGGUGUUAGAAAUAGUUCAGUAGUCUGGAGGUGAUAGAUUUUUCAUAUAACAAUCUGAGUGGCCUUAUUGCUAGUUCUUUGGGUUCUGUACAAAUUCUCUGAUCUUUACAUUUGCAAAGAAACAGUUUUCAGGGAUAGCUCCUUGCAUUAUUGAUGAAGCCGAGAUACUUGGAAACCCUCGAUCUAGGUGAGAAUGCAUUUACUGGCCCUAUUCCUUCUUCUCUCUGGAAAUACUAAUCAUUCAUUCUAACGAGUUUGAUGGCGAGAUUCCUCUAGAGCUUUGCCACCUCUCUCAACUUCGAGUGCUGAACUUGGCGAGGAAUAGGAUCAGUGGAACCAUUCCUCACUGUUUCAGCAAUUUUUCUGCUACGAUUGGAGAGGCUAGAAUAGCUGAACACUGGCUUUAUACAGGAGAAUAUAACGAGAAUGCUGUGGUUUCAUUGAAAGGGAGGGAGCUUGAUAUACCAAGACACUUGAAUUUCUCUUUUCCAUUGACAUUUCCAGCAACAAUUUGUUUGGAGAGAUUCCAAAAGAGAUGAUAAGUCUUGGAGGGCUUCAAAAUCUGGAUUUGUCUAGAAACAAGUUGCAGGGCAGAAUCCCUUUCGAACAUUGGCAAUUUGAAAAUGAUGGAAUCUCUUGAUUUGUCUUGAAACAAGUUGUCAGGGUCAAUUCCCCCUAGCAUUUCUUCUUUGAACUAUUUAAGUUACUUGAACUUGUCAUUUAAUAACCUAUCAGGUCAUAUUCCAUUUGGGAACCAACUUCAAACCUUGGAUGAUAAAUCCAUCUAUAUAGGCAACAAUGGACUUUGUGGACCUCCGCUAAAGAGUUGCCCAGGAGUUGACUCAACCUCUGAAGGUCAAGAACGAAUCAAGUACAAGAUUAAUGACGAGCAGGAAGCACAUUGGUUCUAUUAAGGUUUGACAAUAGGGUCUGUCGUUGGAUUCCUGGGAGUUUGUAGCAAUUUGUACUUCGUGAAGUCUUGGAGGCAUGCAUACUUACAGUGAAUCAACAAAAUAUACAUGCUCUCCGUAGCAACUGCAGUAAAGGCAAUUUGUCUCCUGUGAACAUUCUGUGGAGGCAACUUUAGUGCAUCAAAAGGAUUUCACGGGUGGUUGCUGUGCUGAAGCUGAAAGGAGAUCUUCUCUUCAACUUUAGGUGGGGGGCUGUAUUUUGAUAACUAAGCCAUACGCUUGAUAGAGCUAGUCUCUUCCCAUGGAAGAUGUGUGCCUCUGUACAGGGUGCUCCACCCUACUCAAGGAGGUGUAAUGUUAUUAGAAAUACUAGGAACCCAGCGUCUAUCUGGCAACCACGGAUGCUUGUACUCUAU